UACGGAGGGUGCAAGCGUUAUCCGGAUUCACUGGGCUUAAAGCGUGCGUAGGUGGGCAGGUAAGUCAGUGGUGAAAUCUCCGAGCUUAACUCGGAAACUGCCGUUGAUACUAUUUGUCUUGAAUAUUGUGGAGGUAAGCGGAAUAUGUCAUGUAGCGGUGAAAUGCUUAGAUAUGACAUAGAACACCAAUUGCGAAGGCAGCUUACUACACAACGAUUGACGCUGAGGCACGAAAGCGUGGGGAUCAAACAGG
rnacentral:rRNA from 1 species